GUAAGUUCUAAGUUUAAAGGAUUAUGAGACAUAGCUUGUUUAAGUUGGUGCAGCCGAAGGACCAAUAAGGAUCGAGACCAAGGUCCUAAAGGCACAUAUGAGGCAUGAGUGUGCAGACUAGGGCCUAGGCUAAAGUUCGAGAGCAUGGCAAGGUGAGCAACCUAAUGUCAAGAAUAGGGAGGGCUCGUUAGAAAGAUGGCUCUAGAUUAGCCAGGAGAUAGGCUAGGUGCAUUGGCAUAAAAGAGUUUGGAGAAGCUUGGAGGCUAGCCUAGUGUGCAAGUACUAAAGGUUCUAGAAUGGCCUAGAGCAAGAACAGUAGUAGGUAUUGUAAUGCCCAGAUGAGGAAGGCUCAAGAAUGCCCUAGUUAUGGGUAGAGUAAUAACUAGACAAGGAAGGUUCUGGAACUCAUUAGGCAUGGGCACUUAGCAGGAGUGCCCAGACUCUUCUGACCUAAGGUUCAGCAGGGAGCCUAGAACAAGCUAGAUUCUAUAAAGGCCUUAGCCAAACUAGGAUGCGUUUAGGGGCCAUGGAAAGGUCUAAAAGGCUUACAAAAGCCACACACUUAGAUCAAUAAAGGCCAUAUAUGUUGAGAGCCUCAGGUAUAAAUAGAGGCCUUCCCUCUCAUUCGUAAUUCAUAGGAGAAGCAACAAGAGAAAAGUAAGAGGAACCAAGGCAUAGACUUUUUCAGAUUAGAGACUUGGGGAUAGACAUACGAGUCAAUGUAAAAGCAAUUGUGCAUACCAUCAAGUAAAUAGAAAUAGAAUUGCUUUAACUCUCUUUCCUAGCUUUCUUCCAAGCUCUUAAGGAGCCAAUGGAGUCCAUAACACAAGCGUUUAGCAUAGAGUUAGAAAAGAGGCUAUCUUAGGCACAUACAUAGUAGUUUUUAGCCUAAGGCCACAUGGGUGCUUGGCUUAAACCCCCAGCCUAUGAAACUUACUACUGAUGCUACCCUAAACCCUUGACCUUUUUACCAAGUCCUUGAAUCAAGUAAUGGCUCCCUAAGGUGGUGCAACCAGAAGCUACGAUCAUAGGCUUGGUCUAGCCAAGUUUUUUAGGUAUUUGGUAGUCUUAUGGCCUUUUCUCAUUGACCAUAAAAAUGCCUUUGUCUAGCCAAGCUCGUGCAUGUGUCAUGGGUCGGGGCUUAAGCCUAAGAGUGGAAAGGUCCCAUGUGAAUAGCACUUGCACAUGGGUUGGUCAAUCCUAAGAGAUAAGGGAAGCCUAUCCGAUAGUGCAUCCAGCAUAAGCUACAAAAGGGAAUCAGGUUAAAAUUCCUAAACUAGGACAUGAUGAUUGAUGGCGACAUUAGGUAGUUUAAAGACAUCAGUAGGGGCCUUGGGAAAAGUUUUCUUUUUUGUUUAACAACCUGCCCACCUAAAAAAUGGCUCAAUCAGAAGUAGGGUUUAGUGGCUAAAAAAAGCACCGCAUGUUGCAUGGUGUUCAGUGUGCCCCCAAUAGGCUUUGAAAAUCUAGAGGACUGAGUGCUAUCUGCACUCGAUGGUACUUAUAAUCCAUUAGGUCUCUAAAGUGAAUAGCUUCUUGUCAAUGGAAUAGUGUUGGCAAAGGAAGUCAGUAAAAUGAAUCUGUAACCUCGACAAAAGGAUUAGCUCUGAGGGCUAGGUAUGGAGGUCCCAAUCCUGAACCCAUUUGGUGUUGGUGCACUGCUUGAACUGCUCCAUGGUGAGAGUAGGUCACUACAUGCCAAUCAGGGGAUGGUUGGGAAUGGCACCCUCAGGGGCAUUUUUUAAGUGAUAAAUAGUUGACUUAAAACUAGUACAGACAAGAGGAAUUUGACUGUUUAAUUAAAACAAAGCAUUGCGAAGGUCUCUACGGAUGCUCACGCAAUGUGAUUUCUACCCAGUGCUCUGAAUGUCAAAGUGAAGAAAUUUAACCAUGCACAGGUAAAUGGUAGGAGUAACUAUAACUCUCUGAAGGUAGCCAAAUGCCUCAUCAACUAAUUAGUGAUGCACAUGAAUGAAUUAAUGAGAUUCCCACUAUCCCUGUCUACCAUCUAGGGAAACCAUAGCCAAUGGAAUGGGCUUGGUAGAAUCAAUAGGGAAAGAAGACCUUGUUAAGCUUGACUCUAGUCCAACUUUGUGAAAUGACUUGAGAGGUGUAGGACAAGUGGGAGCCCUCGAGCAAAAUUGAAAUACCACUACUUUUAACAUUAUUUUACCUAUUCGAUGAAUCAGAGGCAAGGCAUGACCCCUUAUUUUAGACCCAAGGCUGGCCUUGCUCGAUUGAUCAUGGUAGAAGACAAUGUCAAGUGGGUAGAUUGGCUGGGGCAGCACAUCUAUUAAAAGAUAAUGCAAGUGUCCGAAAAUGAACUUAAUGAGAAUAAAAAUCUCAUGUGGAACAAAAGGGUAAAAGCUUGUUUGAUUCUAAUUUCCAAUAUGAAUAUGAACUAUGAAAACACGGCCUAUCAAUCAUUUGAAAUUUAAAGCUAGAGGUGUUAGAAAAGUUAACACAAGGAUAACUAGCUUGUGGUAGCCAAGUGUUCAUAGUGACAUUGCUUUUUGAUCCUUCGAUGUCUGCUCUUCCUAUCAUUGUGAAGCAUAAUUCACCAAAUGUUGGAUUGUUCACACAGCAAUAGGGAAUGUAAGUUAGGUUUAGAUUGUCAUGAGAUAGGUUAGUUUUACCUUACUGAUGGCAGUGUCACAAUAGUAAUUCAACCUAGUAUGUGAGGAACCAUUGAUUCACUCAAUUGGUCAUCAUACUCAAUUAAAAAGUUAGUGGCAUGAAGCUACCAAGCUUUGGAUUAUGACUAAAUGCCUCUAAGUAAGAAUCUAGGCUAGAAGCAAUGCACAUGCCGAUCAUUCAAUUGCCAACCUAUAGUCGGGGCCCAUGGACCAAAAGAACAAAUGUCGUAGGUGCAGCCCUCAUGGCAGACAGGCCAUCUAGGACUCUUGGAGCUCAAUUCUCAUUGACCAAUGGGUAGAAUCCUUUACAAAUGACUAAAAUACGUAAUGGGGUAUUGUAAGGGGUAGAGUGGCCUUACUACCACAAUCCACUAAGAUUCAGCCCUUUGUCACUU
rnacentral:rRNA from 1 species